rnacentral:rRNA from 1 species
AUACGGUGGAUGCCUUGGCAGUUAGAGGCGAUGAAGGACGUGUAAGUCUGCGAAAAGCGUUGGUGAGCUGACAAAAAGCGUUAUAACCAACGAUGUCCGAAUGGGGAAACCCGGCACUUCGGUGUCAUCUGCAACUGAAUACAUAGGUUGCAGAAGCGAACGAGGGGAACUGAAACAUCUAAGUACCCUUAGGAAGAGAAAUCAAUUGAGAUUGCCUUAGUAGCGGCGAGCGAACGGGUAACAGCCGAUGGUUUAUGUUGUAGUGGAACGGUCUGGAAAGUCCGGCGAUACAGGGUGAUAGCCCCGUACACGAAGCAACAUUUAUCACAUAUUAAGUAGGUCGGGACACGUGUUAUCCUGACUGAAGAUGGGGGGACCAUCCUCCAAGGCUAAAUACUCCUAACUGACCGAUAGUGAACCAGUACCGUGAGGGAAAGGCGAAAAGAACCCCGGAGAGGGGAGUGAAAUAGAUCCUGAAACCGUAUGCGUACAAGCAGUGGGAGCAGACUUGUUCUGUGACUGCGUACCUUUUGUAUAAUGGGUCAGCGACUUAAUUUUAGUAGCAAGGUUAACCGUUUAGGGGAGCCGUAGGGAAACCGAGUCUUAAUAGGGCGCAUAGUUGCUAGGAUUAGACCCGAAACCGAGUGAUCUAGCCAUGCGCAGGUUGAAGGUGCGGUAACACGCACUGGAGGACCGAACCCACCGAUGUUGAA